UUGUGUUGGACAGUUUAUGUCAUUUUCUCAGUUCUUUGUUGUCAUUCUCAAUCCACCGCUUCAGCUGUCCAAUGGUUUUGCUCCAGCGAGGUCACUACUUCUCCUUUGCUUAAGUUAUUCCACCGCCUCAACUACCACCGCUUCUUCCACUAAGACGAACCUUGAACCCACAAAAAUCCAAUAUCGUCAGAACCUCUUAAAAUCUCACCGAUGCUCCCUCUUCUUCUUCCACCCCAUUGCCUUUCUCUCUCGCCAAAGAUCGUCUGAUCGAGUAGCAACGAAAGAUGCCACUGAAGAGCUGGUGACGUCGACGACAAACCUUCUCCUAUUCUACAUGGAUUGAAGCUUCCAUCUUCGAUUGGAGAACAUUCGGCGCCUUCGUUUCUGUUUCAGCUUAGAAAAUCGAUUCCCCUCCUACUCCGUCGUUUUCCUAUUCCAGGUUUGGUGAGGAAAAUCCCUAGCUUGGUUAAUCUCCCGGUUCGCCAUCUACCUUCCAUCCUUUUUUUUCUGUUUCCGUGUACUGCCAUCUGUUGGGAAUGGAAGAUAGAAGCAUGUGUAUAUGCCUUUGACUCAACCGCCAUCUGUCAAACGGAUUUACAGACCCAAUUCUUAUCCAGGUAUUAGUAGCCCUAGAAAAGAUGUAUAUGCCUGAAUUAGCCUACUGAUUUAGAGACCAAUUCUUAUCCUCACUUUACAGUUCCAUGUUUACUUUAGCCAUAUAAGGAAUAUGCUUUUCAACCCAUGUCUUUUAAUUAUGUAUGAUUCACAAAGUGCAUAUAUUGUCAUUAAAGAACUUAUUGUGAUUUUGGUGUGGAUGCGAGGUGGUAAUGGAGGCGGGUGAAUGAUGGCUUGAUUGGAGAAAUAAGGGAGGUGGUUGACGUUUGUUUUAAGUGGGAAUGAUGGAGAAGUGCUGGUCAGGAGUGGGGGUGAUGAUGGAUUAACGUGUUGUUUUCGUUGAAGGAUGUUCAUCGGGGUUAUUUUAACUUUACCUUGGUAAUUCAUGAAGCUAUUCCGAUUCCCAGUUUUGUGAUGCAGACAACAGUUGAAGGAAGCAUGAUGCUGGGCAUCAUGGAGCGGAAUGGCGUCAACACCACUUUCAUCCUCAACCGUCAGAUGUGUGACAAAAAAGCCCUUUUGUUCAUUGUAGUUACACACCAGAAUGUCAUUGCUCUUGCACAAGAAUGCCAUUCACACUUGGAAAUAUGUGACAUUUACUAAGUUUAAUUUUAUUUUCCUAUGAGAUGUGUAAUUAUAUCACUUUGUGUGUAGGUCAUUACUUUGGCAUUGCAGGAGUCAGCCCAGCUCUACUUGGUAUGUAUGUGGUUACCGUUUGGAAACUUCUUCUCAGUAACAAAAAGUAACUUGGAUUUUGGAAACAAGGAUUGUCAGGUUGACUAAGUAAGAUGUUAUAAAUUUACACGAUUUAAUUCCUUUAUUUAUUAAGAUCUUGAAUAACAUAGCCUAGCCUUCGUUGGAAAUAUAAAAUAACCUUAUCAUUUCAACAACAAUUGUUGGAGAUAUGUAAUUCAAGACUAUAAACAAUAAAAUGACCUUAGACAGAACACCAGUAAUUGUUAAGAUUAAAACAACACCUUUGCGCUUCUCUCUUCACCUUCUCUUUGUUAAUUUUUAUCAUCGGAUCCAUAUAACAGAGAACUUAAUGUAAUUGACAGUUACAACAGAAAGCUGGCUUUGUAUAGCAUCGUAGAAUGAAGCUUAACGAUAGACUUUACUUGCUCGGGUAUUAGCCGCCAAAUAUUAGUAAUGUAACAACUCUGAAGUAAGAAUUCCUUUCCAGCAUAUCUUGGCACACAAUCAGCACCUAGACAAUCAGCAACUUCUUGAACCUUCAAUCACGUGCAUUUUCCCAUUUAGAUUAAUCAGAGAAAAAGACGAAAAUGCCCCUAAAAAAACUUGAGACUUACACGAGCGAUUGCAUUAGCAGUUUCAGUUGGCGCUAUUCUAGGGCUGCUCACUAUUGAUUUCACCUUCAAAUCAAGAAGCAAUUCUGCUGUUUUUUGUGACUACCAUUUAUAUAAAAUAAUAUAUUAAUCAGACCAUAAUUACCAUAAUACCCUUUUGCAUAUUAUCAAAUUACAAAAAAAAAAAAACUGUAUAGUUCCAAGCAUGUCCAUAGGCAUGUUACUGUUAUCAUGUUAUCAGAUUCAGAAUCACUACCCUGUUAAAAAAAUCUCAAGAAAACCAAAUUAAGGAAAUUCAGAAAACAAACAAUUUUUUUUUUCACAGACUGAUUUAUUUAUUAAUAUUACCUCAGGGUUUCCAUGGUAGACAAGUACAAUCCGAUUACUAGCUUUCCUUCCUGCAGAGCUUCCAGAAGCAAUAGGGGAGCUUGGAGUUUGAUUUAAUCUGUUAAGACAUAAAUAUUGAGAUCCACCUUCAGGUUGUGGUACAAAAUCUAGCACACUUACACCACAGUUGCUUUGAAGUAAAAUUCUGAAGUACUCUGUUCCUAAACCUGAACAAAUUUUUUUACCAUCAUGAACAAGUGACUUUGAUUUAGCAUUUUCAGCCAUUAGCUUGGAAAGGAAGAACUUCAAUUUUGAAGCUUUUUGCGGUUUUCUUUCUUCAGAUCGACCUUUCAUUUUUUUUCCUUUUCUCUUCUUAUCAUUUGUUCUUUACCAAGUUAUUCUUAAGCACAUCCGACACCUAUAUAUUAUUGUUUCUGUAUCACAGCAGGUUAAAGACCACCUUACUUGACAAUCGUUGACUUUGCUAAACUGGAAGUGCUUUGAAACGACAAUCAGGUAAGAAGCUUUUUUAUUUUAUAUGUAUCUUCCUUAAAUAGAAUUGCUUGGCUCUGUAUCUCCAUUUUCUCUUUACCUUUCCGUGGCUCAUUUGUUUUGUUUGUGCUUAUUUUUAAUAAGUUUUUUGAUAUAAAGAUUAAAGAGUUUUUUUUUUUAGCUUCAAACUGGAAUUAAACAAAAACAUAUGAGUUUUUCUACAGAUUGUCAGAUUGUCACCGUUUGUGGAGAUGGUAGUGACAAUGAAAGAAGACUGCUUCUUUUUCUAUAACAGUUAGGCCUAGGUGAUGUAUUGUUGCAAAAUGGUACUUCAAAUUGUUCGAUGAAAUGUUGGAAUUAAGACCUACUACGUAUUUUUCUUUCAAUGUGUGCUUAUUGUAGUGAAGCCAUAUGGUAUGAGAGAACUUCUGUUUAAUGUUUAAAUACAAAUGCAAAGAGGCAAACAUUACUUACUUAAAAUAACAA